AUACUUACCUGGGGUAGGGGAUACCGUGAGCAUGCAGGCGGUUCGCCAGUGCGAGGCUGCUCCAUAGCACUGCGGAGUGAUUGACCCUUGCGCUUAUUUUUAUUUUUAUCAAUAAAAAAUCAUAAUAAAAAAUGUAUACCCGAAUAGUUAUUUU
rnacentral:snRNA from 9 species